AAAGAAAUAAGAAGGGAGUUAGGGUUUGUAUGUCGUGACAAAUGAGAUUGAACUCAUCUCCUUCCCUCUUUUGGCUCGAAGCGGCCGCAAACCUCCGAUCAAGUUUUUCUGUCGCGACUUCCGGCGCGGUUUGGCUCCGAUUCUCUUCUUCUCUCUGGCCUCAUCUCCGUCUCUGAACACGGCGGCUUCUCCUCUGUUUCCCUUGGUGUUGACGCGGUUUUGGAAAAUGAUGUGAGAUCGAGUUGAUGUUGUAUCUCAGCUGAAUUGAAAAAGGAACCCAGGAACAUAUUCGAAAGGGUGGUCGAGACGGCGGCUAGGGCAUCAGAAGAUAUCCCUCUCCAAAGAAAAAUCUCCAAAUCAACGAAGGAUCACUGAUAAUGGGAAGAGUAGUUACUAGGAGCCAGAGACUUAAAUCAUUAAACAGUUGCAAUGACGAUUCAAACUCCAAGAGAUGUAUAGUGAUUUCAAAGGUGCCGCUUCCUCAAGACUUGCUGCUUCAUAUUCUUACUUUGCUUCCUCUCAAAUCUCUUGUUAACUCUGCAAGGUAUGUUUGCAAAUCUUGGGCCACUACUAUUCGAACCUCCCAAUUUGCGCUAGCAUGCCUAACACAUUCUAAACCCGGUCUUUUCGUUCAAAAUCAUCAACAUCGUACUGCUUAUUUCUUGGAUAUUAAAGACUGUGUGCAAGGUAGUCAAGAUCGAGAUCAGGGUCGUAGGAUCUUAAGAUCUUACGAUCUUUUAUUGCCUUUUAGUGCUAAGAUCUUGCAGAAAUCUUUUUCAUGUGCUUUUGUAGUCAAGAUCGAGAUCUUUUAAGUAAGAUCGUAAACACCAUAGUGCUGGACCUGUUUUUGUUAGGCUUUCUAACCGGGUCAGAUUUUUUAAGUGAACCCGAUUUUUUUGUCUUACUUAAGUUCUGUCUUUCCUAACCCUAAAAUUAAAAACGCAAAACGGCUGCAGCAUCUUCCUCAUACGAUACUUUCCUACUUCCACGAAAAACAGAAACUUUUCACCAUCAUCUUCGCCAUUCUUCUCCCCCUGCUAUCAUCUUUGUUCUUCUCCCUCUGUUAUCAUCCUCAUUUCGUGUUCAUCUUAUUAAAUUAGGGAUUGAUGGUUAUGAAUUAUUAAUUAAAUUAGUUGAAUGUUGUGAUUUAUAGGUUAUCUUGUUCAUGUAUUAUAAUUUGCAUGUUUUUGUCAAUGUGAAUUUACCAUUUUGCCCUUUGGUAAGAUCUUAAGUGUCGUGCUACGAUCCUACUUUUACGGUCUUUCACAGGCCGUCCGAUCUUACUUAAGAUCCCGUGCUUGACUACCUUGACUGUGUGAAUGGUCAGUUUGAAUUUGAAAGGACUGAUAUGGGAACAACUUUGGGAAAAGUUAUCAUUUACGAUACUUGUAAUGGCAUAUUGUUGCUUCUAUUGCCGAACAAGCGUCUUAAGCAAAUACAACCUUGUCUCGUCAACCCCAUCACCAAGUCUUGCUUUAGAGCUCCUCCUUUACUCAGGUCACAAAGACCUUUUGGGCUUUUUUUUGGACCGACUUUAGUGUGUGUCCCCCAUAUUGCCAAAUUCAAGCUCUUCUUCCUAGACAUCCAAGAUGUUUCAGGUGUUGAUUAUUAUGUUUUCUAUGUCCUAACAAUUGGAAUAGGUAACUCAUGGAGAGAAAUAGAUAGAAAAAAAGUUCCUUACGGGGGUAGUUAUUGGCCACCACCUUAUGGAGGAGGCAAUUAUCUUUACUGGAAGACUGGUGGAGACCAUGGAGUAACUGUGGUGGAUGUUGACAAGGAAAUUACCGCUGGAAAAUUUUCACUUCCCCCUGUGCCCAUGUAUUGUGCUGUUGAGGAUGUUGAGACAUUCUUCACGAACAUGAAUACAAAGUUCUUAUGGAUGGGAAAUCAGCUUUCUUGCAUUGUGAUUAAAGAUUCGAAAACAUUUAAAAUCUACCUUUUGGAUUUUGAGUCUGGAAAAUGGUCUCUUUAUCAUGAUAUGGGACAUUUUGAUUGAGUGGCUGCUUCUGGUAAUGAGUUUAUUAUUUAUGAUAUUUGUUGCUGGAUCCACGAUCAAAUCAUCUUUAGUCUCUUCUCUAAAGAAAGAAAGAGGCAUCUAGACAGGAUAAUAAACAACUUGCAUUUUAGUUACAGUGUCAAGACUAGAAAACUAACAAAGAUUGAGGGCAUUUCCAUGGGUGAUCAAGUAAGGCUUCACACCAACAGUCUAAUUUCAUUGCCAAGUACUCCAACAUAGUUAGGUUUCUUGGUACAAUAUAUUCAUUGGUAAUCUUAAUAUUUAUCUUUGUUGGGUACAAUAAGUAUUUAUGUUUCUAUUUAUCCAUGAAGCCACUAUUUGAUAACACUGCUUUUAGUUCAGAAAGUUCAGAACAGUGUUACCUCUUUCUUUUAUAUGGGAAGGAUGGAUUAAGUAUGUCUCUGCAUUUAUGCAUCUGGUUCACUUAGUUAGAUGUCACUAUCGGCUAUUAUAUGAGAUCAUAUUUCAAAUUGUAGUAGCCAUUUAGUGAUUCGUAUUUUUUUUACUUCUUGAAGUAGAUGGAUCUGAGAUAUUCGACGACCUCUUGAGUUUAUGUAAAGAGCCAUCCAAACAAAGAAUUGUAGAUGGAGUGAAGUUGACAUUGUAUCUAAUUUUCUCAGGGUAAGUUGGUAUGAACAUCAUAUCAACCUUCAUUGAAUUAUAGUUGGUAUGAACAUUAAUUUUUUGUAUUUUUUUUUAGAUUUCGUACGGGCAUCCAAUGCUUAUAGGCUGGUCGACAAAAAAAAAGGCAACCUAAGAGAAAAACUAAAAGUUUGAAGAUCCUUGCGAAUUGCUAAAAUAAUUUGAGAAAUUCACGUUAAUUUGUAAAAACAUCGAACGAUUUUCUGCAUUUCAAAUUGAUUCUUUUAGAAAGCCUAAAAAAAUGAUAUUUGGUAGGAGAAGAAAUGAUACCGAAGAUGUUAUUAUGGGUAAUGUCUUCGGUAUCAAUAUAAGGUUAUCAAGUAUCAUUUUCUUAGGCUUCCCAAAAAAAUCAAUUUGAGAUUCAGAAAAUUGUUCGAUGUUUCUAAGACUUAGCAAUUUGCAAGGAUCUUUGAAUUUUUAAUUUUUCUCAUACUUUUUUGUUGAUCAGCUUAUAACUAUGUUUUUUUGUCGACCAGGUUAUAACCAUUGGAUGCCCGUACAAAAUUUGCAAAAAAAAUACAAACAAAAAAAUUAUCUUAAAAAAUAUUACGUUCACACCAACUAUAAUUCAAUGAAUGUUAUAAUUCAAUGAAUGGUGAUAUCAUGUUCAUACCAACUUGCCUCGAGAAAACUAGAUUAGUGCCAACUUCACUCCAUCUACAAUUCUUAAGAAGUCGUCGAAUAUCUCAAGAUUUAUUAGCCACCUCUUUCAAGAAGUAAAAAAAAAUGAAUCACAAAAUGUCUACUACAAUUUGGAAUAUGAUUCGUGACAAACAAUCAUUACUGGAGAAUGUCGUUUCAAAUUUGGAACAAGGUGCCGUUGAACAAACCGAAGAGGUUGAACAAGCUGCCGUUGAACAAACCUAAGAAGUUGAACAAACAAAAGUGAAAAUCGAAACUGUCGGCAGACCUAAGAAAAGGAGAUCUAAUAGAAUGACAAAACCUACCCCUCUUUUUGUCGAAUUAGAUGCAAAUAUGUUCAACAAAAUCGGAAUGUUGAACAUGCUACAAAUGUGGGACUAACUUUGAAUGUUGAACAUACCUUCAAUUUGGAGUACGAUGACAACGAAAUCAGCAACUCGGGGCUAGCUGUAAAUGUUGACCAUGCCUCCAAUUUUGAGGAUGAUGAGAUUGUUGAUCUUGCUUCCAAUAUGAAGGCUGCGAUUGUUGAUCAUGCUUCCAAUUUGGUAUCCGUGACACCGGCUGUCCUUUGGGAACCAUCUUUGAAAGCUAUAAUCUGGAGGCAGCUGAUAAUCUGGAACCAAUAAUGAGAAAUCCAUCUUUGAAACUUGCUUCUGUUGGUACCGACAGUGUGGAACAAACUAUAAAUUGUACUGACAGUGUGGAACAAAUUGUACUGACAGUGGGGAACAAACUUGUUGGCAGUGCCAAUGUGCAGCAAUUUGCAAAUGUUGAGAGAGCCCCAAAAACCCUUCACAAUAUCCAAACCAACUAGAAGUAAACUAUUCGAAAUUUUUAUGUUUUUGUAUCUUUAUUUAACACCUACUUUGAUAUAAUAGCUACAUAGCCUUCCAAGACAAGGAUUCUUAAUGAAACUUAUAAUUUUCUA